UGCUGGGGUGGCCAAGUGGCCAGAGGCCAGGCCUGUGGGCUAAGGGCAGGAGCUGAGGAGCAGAGGUCUGGCUGCUGGGCUCCCUGUGUGGGUGCUGAGGGUGCCACAGAGGCAGCACUCCCCAAGCCCCGGUGCUGUGCUGACCUCAGGCCAGGGCCGGUGUGCUGAGACCCACCCUCCAGCCAGAGCUCCCCCUUCUCCACUCCCUUGGGAGCGCAACCCCCUCUCCCCCCGGGGAUCCAGGAGAGCGUGUGGGCACCCACGGGCAUGGGGGAGGGGCCUGCAAGCACUGGCCCACCCCCCCUUAUCUUGCCCCCGGGCUCCCUGCAGAGCUGCCCCUCUCAGGGCUGCCAGAGGAGCAGGUGACACCCAGCACCUCAGUCCAGCUGCCUCCUGGGGCAGUGGGCAGCUGGCUAUGGUGAGGGGGCAGACCCCAUGGAGGUGAGGAGCAGGUCCCAUGGAGGUGAGGCACAGACCCCAUGGAGGUGAGGAGCAGACCCCAUGGAGGUGAGGAGCAGCUCCCAUGAAGGUGAGGAGCAGACCCCGUGGAGGUGAGGAGCAGACCCCGUGGAGGUGAGGAGCAGACCCCGUGGAGGUGAGGAGCAGACCCCGUGGAGGUGAGGAGCAGACCCCGUGGAGGUGAGGAGCAGACCCCGUGGAGGU